rnacentral:lncRNA from 1 species
CCACCAAAUCAAAAUAUGAAAAAUCCGUUUUAGUGCAAAAUACAAUUUAGGCUAAAAAUGAUGGCUCAUUAAGUCAAUAUAUACUUCAUAUUAAAAUCCCAUAAAAUCAAGUUUUCUUAUUUGAUGUGUAAGGAAUAAAAGCCGCCCAAAAUUAUCUUGAGAAAAUGAUUAUUCCGAAAAACUAUUUUUCAUACUUAGUCAAUAUUGCACCUCCACUAAAAAAAUUCUGGGUCCGCCAGUGUCUAUAAAUACCAACCAAUACUCUUCACUUUUAACACCAAAUCCUCAUACUUUUUUUUUCUAUAAAUACCAACCAAGACAACUAAUAAAAUAAAAUCUUAUACGAAUAUGAAUAGUAUUGACACGUAGGAACCCAAAAAUCUUAUUGGAAAAUUUUGUUCAAAUUAAUUAUUUAAGUAAAAAAAGUUGUGAAAAAAACAAAAAAAUAAAUAGUAUUUGCCAUGGCAAAGGGCAACUGCUGGAAACACACUUUGCUGGGGGGAGGGGGGCACUAGGGCAGCCACUAUUCACAUGAAUAGUAGCUGCCCUAAGGCUCCCCUUACUAUGGCAAGGGACAAACUGCUGGAAAUGCUCUAAUCACCGGCUCUUACAACAAAAAAAACAAAAUAAUGAUGGAUUCAAUGCAAAAGAAAAUGAACUUAAGGAGAACACUACAAAAAAAACACACAACAGUCACUUCUUUUUUUUUUUUUUAUGACUUUUGGCAGUAUUAGCCACGAAUAUUCAUGACUAAAGCCAUUAGUACUAUUAAAACACCAUUUCAUAACAAAUUGUGUAGACCAUCCAAUUGCUCCAAAGCAGGCCCCACAUCAUGUCUAAUCAAACUAUAUUAAUAUUUUAUUAUUUAAUUUAAUUUGACUGCGAUGUCCAACAUCGUUUCAUUAUUUUUAUUUAUAGCUGAAAUCCGAUUCCCUUACCGAAAACCAAAUCCCCAAAUCCCUCACUCAAUUCUUUACUGAAAUCACAAUCAGAUCUGUGCGAACAAUGUUGGCUUCAGUUGGGCUUCACAUAUAAAAAAACUCUGAUCUGAAAAGGAUUUUAAUAGAAGGUUGAGAGAUGGAAGCUUUCCAAUUGAGUCUCAUAAAUACAACCCACACAUAAAUAAAAUCCAAAACCAUUCCUGAAAUUAAACCCAUAUGAAAACUUAAAAAAACAAAUCCUUUACGUUUCUAAGGAGAGAAGAAGGAAAUAAUAAAUAAAAAGAGAGGAAGAGAUGGAAAGUGACGGAUGGAAGAAGAAGAUGGGAAAAAAAAGAAAAAAAAAAGAAGGCGUUGGGAGAUGAGAUAUGGGGAGAAUAAAAAUUACAAAAGAAAGAAAAAGAGGGGUAGGUUUGGGCGCAUCUUCAGAUGCACAUGCAUGCUCUAACAUUUUUUUAUUAUAAUAUUUUUUAUUUAUUUAGAGUAACUAUUACUAAUUAUAUAGAGGGAAGGCGAAAGAGCCUUGGUUAGUGAGAAAGAUUCCAUCCAUAUAUUUUUAUUAAAUUAUUAUUGUAAAUAUUUUAUUAUGGAAAAGAUUAUCCUCUUAUAUUUUACUAGUUCCUUUGGCACAUACUCACGAAUGUGCCAAUUGGUUUUAUUUUUUAUUUUUAUUUUAUUUUGAGAAUUAAGAAAAAAUAAUAUGGGUAGUUAUGUUCCAUAAAAGUAUGACCUAUUAUCUGAUUUUAUAUUUAUUUUUAAUUUUUUAAUAUGAAAAAAAUGUGAAUUUACUAUAUUAUCAAUAUUUAAUUAAUAAUUUUAAUUCUUAAUGUUUGAAUUAACCAAGGACAUUUUCUGGUAUUUUGAAUGUUUCACCAUUCUCUGUUUUUUGCUUUAUAUAUAUUGAUUACAUUAUUACUAUUCAUGUGUCAGCUACAACAAAAUUUAUUAUAUUUAAAUCAUUAGACACAAAUAAUGGUGACUAAUAACGUUGACCACCAAUAAUUGUCACCAAAAUAAGUUAUUACUUAAAAAAAUGUGACUAUUGCUUCCUUUUUUUUCUUUUUUCUUUUUUUUUUUUUUGGUAGUGGAAGACAAAUUUUUCAUACUAUUAAAUAUAUCAUUUGUCAGACUCCAAACCCACUGGUACUUAUUUUUCUUCGUCACCAUGCUCACUUUUACUUUACAAUCAAACUUUGCUAGCGAGCACUUGAACUUUUAUCCAGUUAUAUAUUAAGGGAGAGGGCAGGCAAAGACCUAUACUUCAUCAAGCACUCAAAUUCUUAAUAUUAAACUCCCUAAAGUGAAUAUGAGUAAGGAAGGAGGCGGCAGCAGUACGAACCAGAUUGUUGGCAAUUGCAUUAUAGGAGAACCGGGCAGUGAGAAUGUUGGGAUGCAGAACUCUUUCAAUGGACCAGAUCAACGUGGUCUCCACGUUGCUGGCAAUAGAGUUGUUGCACAUGAACGCGCCAAGAAUGUUGGGAUCCAAGGAGUUGGCAACACCAACACCAGACCUGACGAAGGCUCCAGCUGGUGGUGCUGCAUCCUAUAGUUUAGGAGAAGAAGAAGCGGAACCAAAGUUAGCAUAAACCAAUUGAAGAAGGA